UAGCCCACGCUUCCUGGAACGGUGUGUGGGUAAUAGCUCCGGCGGCCUAGGAUAGCUCUGCGGCCUAUCAGGUUGUAGCGAGGGUAACGUCCUCGCUAGCCUACGACGGGUAUGGGUGUUGGGAGACAUCGCCCAGAGAUGGAUUCUGAGACACGAAUCCAGGCCCUACGGGGCGCAGCAGGCGCGAAAACUGCACAAUGUGGGAAACCACGAUGCGGGAAGCCCAAGUGCCAGCGCUAUGCGUUGGCUGUCCUCAACUGUUCAUUGGUUGGGAAGAAAGUGCUGGGUAAGACGGGUGCCAGCCGCCGCGGUAAUACCCGCAGCACAAGUGGUGGUCAUUAUUAUUGGGCCUAAAGCGUCCGUAGCAUGUUUGUUAAAUGCCUGGGUAAAUCGAUGCGCUUAACGCAUCGAAUUCCGGGUAGACUGGCAAACUCGAGACCGGGAGAGGUGUAGGCUACUCGAGGGGUAGGGGUAAAAUCCUGUAAUCCUUUCGGGGAGGACCAGUGGCGAAGGCGCUACACUAGAACGGCUCUGACUGUGAGGACGAAGCCUGGGGGCGCAAACUGAUUAGAUACCGGGUAGUCCAGGUGUAACGCUGCG
rnacentral:rRNA from 1 species